CAAUGAUACCUCAAGAUAUAGCUAAAGGUAUAGCUGAAGGUGAUCUUGAUCCAUUCACCAAAAUGCCAUUUCAGGGGACUGCUAGUGCCAACACAACUUUCAAACUCAAGAAUUUUGAUCUUGGAAGCGUAAAGAAAAAGCUAGAUUUGCCUGUACAGAAGAAUCUUCUGACUCAGUACUUCUGUAUCCUUCUAUUCUUUUUUCCCUGGUUUGUGUAUGUAAUUUUAGUCUGAAAUGUUUCAUAUCAUGGACAACAGUUCAUGUACAUAAAUAUAACUGGUUUAUUUCAUUAAGUGGAUGUUCAUAGAUGUCUAGAUGGGAGUGCAAAACUACCCGUCUCAGUUGGGGAUGAGAUGACUCUUGUGGUUCAUGCGGUCAACAGUUAUGUUGCUUGGCCAUCGCAUCUGAUCAUUACUUAUGAUCAUGAACAGGAACCCAAGAGACUAAAGAGAAAGAGGAUUUCAGCAGCUUGUCCGCCAACACAAGACCUAAAACAUCCUCCACAACAUCUUCCCACUACUCAAGAAGAGGCAGGAUCAAGUAUGGCUA